GAAGGGGUAAUUCGGAGCGGCACUCCUGCACUGGUUCCUUGAAACUCGGACUUGCCUUCCGUCCAUUCCAGCUCUUCGCAUUGAUCAUAAAGAAUGGUUUUGAAGAUCAUGCCUGUUUUUUGGAAGAUGGAACUUCAGAAUGUAAUCUCAUGUCAGAAAAGGCCUGCAUGUGGUGACUACCAGCAUGGUCAGAAAUUCAGACAGAAUCUGUCCUCUGCAGUACCAAGGUCAGCGCCUCUUCAGCUAUUGGAACAGUCCAACUAGAAUGCUUCAUUUUAAGAUCCAGUGUUCCAGGAGCUCAAGGCUCAUUCCUGAGUCAACUAUAAACUCAGACAAAGAAUGGGAGCCCCCAAAGAACACCAACAUGGCCACUGGGGAAACCUACACACAUUAACAGAGAAGUGAAUUAGUCUGUUAUCAGAAAAGAAGAUGAAAG